CGUAGGGUGCGAGCGUUAAUCGGAAUUACUGGGCGUAAAGCGUGCGCAGGCGGUUGUGCAAGACAGAUGUGAAAUCCCCGGGCUUAACCUGGGAACUGCAUUUGUGACUGCACGGCUGGAGUGCGGCAGAGGGGAGUGGAAUUCCGCGUGUAGCAGUGAAAUGCGUAGAUAUGCGGAGGAACACCGAUGGCGAAGGCAGCUCCCUGGGCCUGCACUGACGCUCAUGCACGAAAGCGUGGGAGCAAACAGGAUU
rnacentral:rRNA from 1 species